UACGUAGGGUGCGAGCGUUAAUCGGAAUUACUGGGCGUAAAGCGUGCGCAGGCGGUUUUGUAAGCCAGAUGUGAAAGCCCCGGGCUUAACCUGGGAAUGGCAUUUGGGACUGCAAGGCUUGAGUGCGGCAGAGGAGACUGGAAUUCCUGGUGUAGCAGUGAAAUGCGUAGAUAUCAGGAGGAAUACCGAUGGCGAAGGCAGGUCUCUGGGCCGAUACUGACGCUGAGGAGCGAGAGCGUGGGGAGCGAACAGG
rnacentral:rRNA from 1 species